rnacentral:rRNA from 1 species
CGGAACAUAAGUUCCCGCCUCGGGGAGUACGGCGCAAGGCGUAAAACUCAAACGGAAUUGACGGGGCCGCGACAAGCGGCGGACGCAUGCGGAUAAUUCGAUGCAACGCGAAGAACCUUACCAAGGCUUGACAUAUCCGGAAACAUCGGCAGAGAUGUGUUGCCCCGCAAGGUCGGUAUACAGGUGGUGCACUGGUUGUCGUCAGCUCGUGUCGUGUAGAUGUUGGGUUAAGUCCCGCAACGAGCGGCAACCCUCGUUCCUUAUGUUUGCCAGCACGUAAUGGUGGGAACUCAUAGGAGACUGCGGGGUCAACUCGGAGAAGUGGGGAUGACGUCAAAUCAUCAUGCCCUUAUGUCUUGGGCUUCACGGCAUGCUACAAUGGCCCGGUACUAAAGGGCUGCGAUACCGUAAGGUGGAGCGAAUCCCAAAAAGCCGGUCUCAGUUCGGAUUGAGGUCUGCAACUCGACCUCAUGUAAGUCGGAGUCGCUAGUAAUCGCAGACUCAGCAACGCUGCGGUGAAUACGUUCCCGGGCCGUUG